rnacentral:rRNA from 1 species
GCCGCGUGUGUGAAGAAGGUCUUCCGGAUUGUAAAGCACUUUCGACGGGGACGAUGAUGACGGUACCCGUAGAAGAAGCCCCGGCUAACUUCGUGCCAGCAGCCGCGGUAAUACGAAGGGGGCUAGCGUUGCUCGGAAUGACUGGGCGUAAAGGGCGUGUAGGCGGUUUACACAGUCAGAUGUGAAAUCCCCGGGCUUAACCUGGGAGCUGCAUUUGAUACGUGUAGACUAGAGUGUGAGAGAGGGUUGUGGAAUUCCCAGUGUAGAGGUGAAAUUCGUAGAUAUUGGGAAGAACACCGGUGGCGAAGGCGGCAACCUGGCUCAUUACUGACGCUGAGGCGCGAAAGCGUGGGGAGCAAACAGGAUUA